GGCAAAGAUGAAGAGUGCUUUGUGUUUCCAACACCUCUCAUAUGAGAAGGGCUUUCUUUAAGCUCUUCCGUGAGCACAGAUAGCAACUCACUGAGCC
rfam:Citrus sinensis cultivar Ridge Pineapple sweet orange scaffold10158_contig_1, whole genome shotgun sequence.